CAGGGAAGCUCUGUUCAUUUUUCUGAUGUACUUCACCCAUCCAUGGAAGGAAAAACCAAAAUAUGAGUAAUAAUAGGAGGAAUGAUGUGGACUUCUUCUGCCUGGCACCUUUUUUAAACUUCCACGUGCAGUAUCUCCUCCUGUUUCUCUGAAGUUCCUCUCGUGGGUCAGCACCAGUAAAGAGAGACACUCAGCCGAAUUCUGGAUUCCUGCUCCCUCUCGAGAUCUGCUACUGUAAAUAAAGACGGUCACCUGGAUGCUCACCUUCCUGUGAACCUGGCCGCUCAGCUGCUACUCUGCCUUGGUCCAGCUCACCUCUCCAGCUGCUUCACUGUAACCUGCUUCGAAACGCUCCUCUCAGUCCUCACCCAGACCAGAUCUUUCCCCUCAGCUGUAAAUAAAUAUAUAUUCUACUUUA